UCCGAUAUGGUGUAGUGGUUAACAUCGUCCGCUUUCAACAAGGAAUUCUUCCUUCAGAUGGUCCGGACAGCCCCGGGUUCGAUUCCCGGUAUCGGAA